UCCGAAUUGGUGUAGUGGCUAACAUUUGACGCUCUCAUAUUCCCUCUUUGGAGUCAACAGUACCGUCAAGCCCGGGGUUCGAUUCCCCGAUUCGGAG